rnacentral:rRNA from 1 species
GACAGAGGGGGCAAGCGUUGCUCGGAAUCACUGGGCGUAAAGGGCGCGUAGGCGGGAUGGCAAGUCGGUCGUGAAAUCCUUCGGCUCAACCGAAGAACGUCGGCCGAUACUGCCGUUCUUGAGGGAUGCAGAGGAGAUUGGAAUUCCCGGUGUAGCGGUGAAAUGUGUAGAGAUCGGGAGGAACACCAGUGGCGAAGGCGGCAUCCUGGACCGGUAUUGACGCUGAGGCGCGAAAGCCAGGGGAGCAAACGGG